rnacentral:tRNA from 1 species
GGAGAGUAAAGCUCAGCAGCAGAGUACAUGCCUAGCAUGCAUGCGGUCCAGGGUUCAAUCCCCAGUAUCUCCA